GGAGUUGUUGGUAGCUCAGUGGUAGAGUGCAUGCUUUGUGUCUAUGACGUACGUCCUGGGUUCAAAUCCCAACUGCUCCA